rnacentral:rRNA from 1 species
UACGAAGGGGGCUAGCGUUGUUCGGAUUCACUGGGCGUAAAGGGUGCGUAGGUGGUGGGGUAAGUCGGAUGUGAAAUCUCCGGGCUUAACUCGGAAAGGUCAGCCGAUACUGCGGGGCUAGAGUGCAGAAGGGGCAACUGGAAUUCUCGGUGUAGCGGUGAAAUGCGCAGAUAUCGGGAGGAACACCAAUGGCGAAGGCAGCUCGCUGGGACGUGACUGACGCUGAGACGCGAAAGCGUGGGGAGCAAACAGGG